AACGAACGCUGGCGGCAUGCCUAACACAUGCAAGUCGAACGAGACCUUCGGGUCUAGUUGCGCACGGGUGCGUAACGCGUGGGAACCUGCCCUUAGGUUCGGAAUAACUCCCCGUAAGGGGUGCUAAUACCGGAUAAUGUCUUCGGACCAAAGAUUGAUCGCCUUUGGAUGGGCCCGCGUUGGAUUAGCUAGUUGGUAGGGUAAAAGCCUACCAAGGCGACGAUCCAUAGCUGGUCUGAGAGGAUGAUCAGCCACACUGGGACUGAGAAACGGCCCAGACUCUUACGGGAGGCAGCAGUGGGGAAUAUUGGAAUAUGGGCGAAAUCCUGAACCAGCUAUGCCGGGUGAGUGAUGAAGGCCGGAGGGAAGUAAAGCUCGUUUACCCGCGGUGAUAAUGACAGUACCGGGAGAAUAAGCUCCGGCUAACUCCGUG
rnacentral:rRNA from 1 species